rnacentral:tmRNA from 1 species
GGGCUUGUACUGGUUUCGACGGGGAUUUUGAAGUCCGAGCAGCCAUUCGCAGACCGUGACUGCGUAUCAAAACGGAAUUAAAAUUAAACGCUGAAGAUAAUUUAGCAUACGCUGCCUAAUGGCAGUUGUCGGUCUUAGUGUGCUCACCAGUUAAGUAACCGGCAUCGUAUUCGGUGAGGAACUUUCGCUCCAAAGCUUUGAGGAGUGGAAAGCCUUUAUGAAGCUACUGAAGCCUUAAGCCUGUUUCCGGGCGUGGGGCAGAGGGAAUGUAAAAACGGAGACUGUAAUGGGAGACACUUGGAUGGACAGGUUUUCGGACGCGGGUUCGAUUCCCGCCAGGUCCAGCA